AGAGAUAUUGGGCCUAAGCAUCCGUAGCUCGUUCUGUAAGUUUUCGGUUAAAUCCAUGCGCUUAACKUAUGGGCUGCCGGGAAUACUGCAUAACUAGGAAGUGGGAGAGGUAGACGGUACUCGGUAGGAAGGGGUAAAAUCCUUUGAUCUAUUGAUGACCACCUGUGGCGAAGGCGGUCUACCAGAACACGUUCGACGGUGAGGGAUGAAAGCUGGGGGAGCAAACCGGAUUAGAUACCCGGGUAGUCCCAGCUGUAAACUAUGCAAACUCRKUGAUGCAUUGGCUUGUGGCCAAUGCAAUGCUGCAGGGAAGCCGUUAAGUUUGCCGCCUGGGAAGUACGUACKCAAGUAUGAAACUUAAAGGAGUUGGCGGGGGACCACA
rnacentral:rRNA from 1 species